rnacentral:tmRNA from 1 species
GGGGGCGACAGGCUUCGACAGGAGUUUCUGGCGACCGACGGAUGCCAUGCCGGGCUACCUUAUGCAGCUCGUUAAAAAGCGUAGGGAAAAAACAAUUGCCAAUAACAAUGAAUUGGCUCUCGCUGCCUAAUUAGCAGUGAGCGUCUCACCGCAAGUUGCUUAUGCGCGCGGAGGGAGAUGUCACUCAGAUAAGCUGGCGCGAACCUUCGGUCCGUGGGUUCGCGCGAGACUAAAGUCGGACUAGCUUAUGCAGCGGUCUUGUUACUUCACUUACUCUGCAUUAAGCGAAAAUCUGGUUGCUAGUCAGCCAGGAAAGAGAAGUGACUAAGCAUGUAGAGUUUUUCGGCGUUGACUCUUGGAUCCGAGUUCAAUUCUCGGCGCCUCCACCA